GUUUUCUCACCUGUGAGAACCUUUCCUUUUUUUUGCUUGUGGAUUCAGGCACCCCCUUGUGGACUCAAGGAUUAGAGACUCCGAAUCUAUAGAUUCAGAGGUUGGUUUCUUCUCCAAGAUUAAAGCUUUGUGGAUUCAAGCCGAAAUCUUAUUUAUCUUUCGCGUCACUGCUGCGUCACUGGCAUCGACAGCAACUCGGGAUGACGUGGACGGUAGACUCGACAGUAGCUCCCAAGAGAGGAGGAAGAGGAGGAGAAGCGAAAACAGGGUGGAAAGAAAUAGGCACAGGCGGAGGAGAACAGGAGAAGAAGCUCUAGACCAGGAGCCGGGGCAGGAGAGCCUCAAUCAUUUUAGUUUUCAGGUCAAGAUCCUCCUCUGGGAGGGUCGACAACAGACUGAUAACACCGGGAAGAUCCGUCCCCCUCCCGUUGGUCAAUAUUCGAGUUGGUAUCUGAACUGACCUCAGAUUGCCUUUUCGAUUGCACGGGGCAAGAAGGAUGCCUAGCUCGGAGCUGUUAAACUCUUCACGUCGGAGAACAGAACCGUCCAAAGACUCGUCGUCCGGCGAGAGGUCGCCGAGAAGAAGCCCCACGACGGUGCUCAUGGCGGGUCUCUCAUCCUUGUUUCUCCUCACGCAGAGCAGGGCGACCCAGAGCACUAGCUGCGCCUGCACCUCGUCGAAGUCCCCCUUUAGCCCUUCGUCGACCAGA
rnacentral:lncRNA from 1 species